rnacentral:rRNA from 1 species
GAUCAUGGCUCAGGAUGAACGCUGGCGGCGUGCUUAACACAUGCAAGUCGAACGGAACUCCUAUGAUUGAGGUUUCGGCCAAAAGAAUAGGACGUUUAGUGGCGGACGGGUGAGUAACGCGUGAGUAACCUGCCUUGGAGUGGGGAAUAACACAGUGAAAACUGUGCUAAUACCGCAUAAUGCAUUUGGGUCGCAUGAUUCUGAAUGCCAAAGAUUUAUCGCU